GCAGAACUUCAGAGUGGAAGAUAUUUUAAAAGUUUCCCUUCCAAAUGAGGUCCAGCCACUCAACGGUACCAAAAUAUACAUGAACAUAAAGUAAAUCUAAGACCAGUCCUGGUGAAUCAGCACUAGCCACUCCUGGACAGCACCCAACAGCAUCUAUUGAUGUUUUCCUCUGGAUAUAUGCUGUCUAAUUUCUUGACACAUUCUCUGCAGUUUCACAGGAUGUUAAAUUGAAAUGAAAAUAAAUACUACGGGGAUUUUAUCAAAAGGCUAAGAAAAUGUUUAUAAACCAAUUCCCAGCAAAAUUGUGAAAGCUACCCACUGCAUGGCUAUCACCCUCCUCCCACCAGACUCAAAUCAAGGAAGGGCUUCAUGAGAACCACCACUCCUCUUGAUGUUCCUCCAGCAACAGCAAGGGUGUCCCUUUGGGCAGCUAAACCUGGCAAUUCUAACUGGAUGGCCCCCCAAGAGGGUCUUCCUCCAGGGGCAAACCAAGAAUGGGCAACUUGGAAGUCCCUGAACAGACUCAGAAGUGGAGUGGGCAGAUCAAAAGACAACUUGGCAAGGUGGCACUACCUGGAGGAAUCCUCCACCUUGUGUGACUGUGGAGCUGAACAAACAACUCAGCAUAUGUAUGCUUGCCCACAAUGCCCUGCCUCAUGUACGGAGGAGGAGUUGUUUAAAGCUACAGACAAUGCGGUUGCUGUUGCCCGCUUUUGGUCCAAAACUAUUUAGUUGCUUGUGAUUUCUUUUUUUUUCCCCAUUAUUUGAAAUGUAUUCGUUCUACAAUGCUUUUGACACAAAAUAAAUAAAUAAAGCAAAAUGAUAAAACAAAA